AUGUCCAUCAGACUUUGGAAAUGGGAUGUCAAACUUUUGGCCCUUAAUAUGCCCCUAUAUGCCAGAUUGCUUAGAAAAGUAAUAGCACACUCCAUGUCAUCAGGGUUGAAGUUUCACUCAAUUUUCAUGUUUAUGUACUGUAUGUUAGUGAUGGUUUGAACAUAACUGGUGCGUCAGCACUGUGCCGAGUGCACAAGCGUGAAACCCCGUAUUGGUGCGUGUAUCGCUUUAAGAAAACAUUUACAAAAAUCAUGUGACCAAUACAGGAAGCGUGUCGGUUGGAAGUGCCGCGCCAAACUGUGUUUGUAAGGAAACAAACUGUGUCGACACGUUGCUGAUUUGUUGGAUGGAGUUUUGCUUGCCCUCACCUUGUUCCACUGACUUCAUGGAUCAGUCCAAGAAGAAAUUUGGAUCUUUUGACGCCAAAUAAGGUGACGUGUCAGCUCUGCUCCACAAAGCUAUCUUACACUUCAUCAAUGCUGAGGCAUUAUAGAGCUCGGCAUGGCGAUGAAGAAUUGGCAGAUACUCGUGUGAGUACCCCAGGUUGACUCACCCAGAACCCAAAAGACGGCGGCUCCUGCUCCAGCCAACCAGAAGAUGGGUAAGGAGAUGGCUCCAGCCAGACUCAUCUGGUGUGGCAUAGUCAGCUCCUUGCCUGUAAAAAAAUAAAAUACUAAAGAUUCAACGCAAAAUAGUACAAAAAAAUAUGCAUAUACAGUGGUGCCUUGAUUUAUGAGUUUAAUGCAUUCUGUGACCACUCUCGAAACUCAAAAUUUAUUACAAAUCCUCUUCCCCUACUGAAAUUAAUGCAAAUAGCAUUAAUCUGUUCCAGCCCCCCAAAAACACCAAACAAAUUUUUUUGCAAUGUGUUUAAUAAUAAUGAAAAUGGCAACCUACAGUAUUGUACUUUACAGUACAUAAUUCAAAAGAAUGUAAAGAAUAAACUAGUUUGUGCAUCAUGAUAAUUCAGUGGGCAUUGUGCUGAUCCUUCUGGUGGCAAUAUAAUACUUGCAUAGGCAUAAACCAAAAAAGACUGAAGCUUAGUAAACUGCAGAGGAGGAAUAAAUGUAUGCCUGUGAGUGUUGUUA